rnacentral:rRNA from 3 species
UGGGGAAUAUUGCACAAUGGAGGGAACUCUGAUGCAGCGACGCCGCGUGAACGAAGAAGGCUUUCGAGUCGUAAAGUUCUUUUAUAUGGGAAGAUAAUGACGGUACCAUAAGAAAAAGCCCCGGCUAACUACGUGCCAGCAGCCGCGGUAAUACGUAGGGGGCUAGCGUUGUCCGGAAUCACUGGGCGUAAAGGGUUCGCAGGCGGAAAUGCAAGUCAGGUGUAAAAGGCAGUAGCUUAACUACUGUAAGCAUUUGAAACUGCAUAUCUUGAGAAGAGUAGAGGUAAGUGGAAUUUUUAGUGUAGCGGUGAAAUGCGUAGAUAUUAAAAAGAAUACCGGUGGCGAAGGCGACUUACUGGGCUCAUCCUGACGCUGAGGAACGAAAGCGUGGGUAGCAAACAGG